rnacentral:rRNA from 1 species
UACGUAGGGGGCAAGCGUUGUCCGGAAUCAUUGGGCGUAAAGCGCGUGUAGGCGGCUGAGUAAGUCUGCUCUGAAAGCCCGGGGCUCAACCCCGGGAGGCGGGUGGAUACUGCUCAGCUCGAGUCCGGAAGAGGAGUGUGGAAUUCCUGGUGUAGCGGUGAAAUGCGCAGAUAUCAGGAGGAACGCCAAUGGCGAAGGCAGCACUCUGGGACGGUACUGACGCUGAGACGCGAAAGCGUGGGGAGCAAACAGG